AGCGGCGGACGGGUGAGUAACGCGUGGGUAACCUGCCUCAUACAGGGGGAUAACAGUUGGAAACGACUGCUAAUACCGCAUAAGCGCACAGUACCGCAUGGUGCAGGGGUAAAAACUCCGGUGGUAUGAGAUGGACCCGCGUCUGAUUAGGUAGUUGGUGGGGUAACGGCCUACCAAGCCGACGAUCAGUAGCCGACCUGAGAGGGUGACCGGCCACAUUGGGACUGAGACACGGCCCAA
rnacentral:rRNA from 1 species